CUGCUUUUUCUGUUAGCCGGCCAAGCUUGUUCUAACCUGUCCUUGCCCAUUCCCUCCCCCCCCUUUCUAUUCCAUUAUAUGGAUCUGCUAAAGCUUAUAUCUGUUUUGGCAACAAUAAGCAUAUAAAAAAUGAGACCUCUAGAAACCUACACCCUAUAGACCUGUGAUCAAGACCUAACUAUAUUCCGUUCUCUGAUAAACAGCUGCUUUCUACCAGUUUCAUUUAAAGCUAAUAUUCAUUAAUUUGAUUCUUUUUCUUGAUUCCAAGGUUUAUGCUAAUCCUAGUAGUCCUAGACUCCUAGUCCCACCAUCAACCCCCAACAACCACGUCCAAACCUAGCCACUAAGCUCUAUAUUCAACAACAUAAGUAACAUCCUUGCAUGUGAUCUAAAAUCUCUUUCCACACACACACGCUUUACAAUGAAUGUUGUACACAAUCUUGUAUAUACUUCAUACACUGGGAAUUUUAAUUGAUUUGUUUGAAAUUUUCGAGGUCUGACAUCUUAAUUGAUAAUUUUUCUGACAGAGCAUGGAAUGGUUCUUGAUGAGUUUUUCUUGUCAAUAGCUGGAAAGUUUUAGACUGAAAUAGGAAAAAGCUGGGCUGCUGAAGUUAUAUCUAGAAGGAAGUCCACCUUGGCUAGUAAAGGAAAUUAAGUAGCAAUCUAACCAAAGUCUUAAUCUAUCUGGAGGGGCUGAUGGCUACUCAAAUCUGGAGUAGCUUUCUUGUGUUAUAGUCAUCCAGCAACUAGAUGGAUUUCCACAAUUGCUCGUAAAUCUGUAGAUUGCAAAAGCUAACAAUGUAACGAGGCAAUUGUAGUCUGUAUGCAGAUUGAGGCAAAUAGAAUUUUAGCCCCAGAGGUACACCUGAUUUUACCGAAAUGUUUUUGGCACACAUGUUUCAUGCUGCCUUGAUGACUAGCAUAAUAAAUCGACCUACUUGCUCCAUGAUGAUCCAUGGUGAUCA